UCCGGACAUCAAUUAUUAUCGGAAUAGAUGUCGAUCUCCACUAACACUAAUAAUCCCAACACAAUGGAACUAUCAAUUUUAUCUUUAAUCAACACGAACUUAUUCAUCAUUAAUAUUAUAACUCACAAUAUUUAACAACCAGAUCGUUCCAAGGAAAAAGGGGGCUUUCUGAUAAAGAUUUCUCCUUAUUGGCGCGCAAUUAGGUG
rnacentral:lncRNA from 1 species